UACGUAGGGUGCGAGCGUUGUCCGGAAUUAUUGGGCGGAAAGGGCUCGUAGGCGGUCUGUCGCGUCGAAAGUGAAAACUCAGGGCUUAACCCUGAGCCUGCUUCCGAUACGGGCAGACUAGAGGUAUGCAGGGGAGAACGGAAUUCCUGGUGUAGCGGUGAAAUGCGCAGAUAUCAGGAGGAACACCGGUGGCGAAGGCGGUUCUCUGGGCAUUACCUGACGCUGAGGAGCGAAAGUGUGGGGAGCGAACAGG
rnacentral:rRNA from 1 species